AUUGAACGCUGGCGGCAGGCCUAACACAUGCAAGUCGAGCGGAUGAAGGGAGCUUGCUCCUGGAUUCAGCGGCGGACGGGUGAGUAAUGCCUAGGAAUCUGCCUGGUAGUGGGGGAUAACGUCCGGAAACGGGCGCUAAUACCGCAUACGUCCUGAGGGAGAAAGUGGGGGAUCUUCGGCCCUCCCGCUAUCAGAUGAGCCUAGGUCGGAUUAGCUAGUUGGUGGGGUAAAGGCCUACCAAGGCGACGAUCCGUAACUGGUCUGAGAGGAUGAUCAGUCACACUGGAACUGAGACACGGUCCAGACUCCUACGGGAGGCAGCAGUGGGGAAUAUUGGACAAUGGGCGAAAGCCUGAUCCAGCCAUGCCGCGUGUGUGAAGAAGGUCUUCGGAUUGUAAAGCACUUUAAGUUGGGAGGAAGGGCAGUAAGUUAAUACCUUGCUGUUUUGACGUUACCAACAGAAUAAGCACCGGCUAACUUCGUG
rnacentral:rRNA from 1 species